ACGAACGCUGGCGGCGUGGAUAAGACAUGCAAGUCGAACGAGAGAAUUGCUAGCUUGCUAAUAAUUCUCUAGUGGCGCACGGGUGAGUAACACGUGAGUAACCUGCCCCCGAGAGCGGGAUAGCCCUGGGAAACUGGGAUUAAUACCGCAUAGUAUCGAAAGAUUAAAGCAGCAAUGCGCUUGGGGAUGGGCUCGCGGCCUAUUAGUUAGUUGGUGAGGUAACGGCUCACCAAGGCGAUGACGGGUAGCCGGUCUGAGAGGAUGUCCGGCCACACUGGAACUGAGACACGGUCCAGACACCUACGGGUGGCAGCAGUCGAGAAUCAUUCACAAUGGGGGAAACCCUGAUGGUGCGACGCCGCGUGGGGGAAUGAAGGUCUUCGGAUUGUAAACCCCUGUCAUGUGGGAGCAAAUUAAAAAGAUAGUACCACAAGAGGAAGAGACGGCUAACUCUGUGCCAGCAGCCGCGGUAAUACAGAGGUCUCAAGCGUUGUUCGGAAUCACUGGGCGUAAAGCGUGCGUAGGCUGUUUCGUAAGUCGUGUGUGAAAGGCGCGGGCUCAACCCGCGGACGGCACAUGAUACUGCGAGACUAGAGUAAUGGAGGGGGAACCGGAAUUCUCGGUGUAGCAGUGAAAUGCGUAGAUAUCGAGAGGAACACUCGUGGCGAAGGCGGGUUCCUGGACAUUAACUGACGCUGAGGCACGAAGGCCAGGGGAGCGAAAGGGAUUAGAUACCCCUGUAGUCCUGGCAGUAAACGGUGCACGCUUGGUGUGCGGGGAAUCGACCCCCUGCGUGCCGGAGCUAACGCGUUAAGCGUGCCGCCUGGGGAGUACGGUCGCAAGAUUAAAACUCAAAGAAAUUGACGGGGACCCGCACAAGCGGUGGAGUAUGUGGCUUAAUUCGAUGCAACGCGAAGAACCUUACCUGGGCUUGACAUGUAAUGAACAACAUGUGAAAGCAUGCGACUCUUCGGAGGCGUUACACAGGUGCUGCAUGGCCGUCGUCAGCUCGUGUCGUGAGAUGUUUGGUUAAGUCCAGCAACGAGCGCAACCCCUGUUGCCAGUUACCAGCACGUGAAGGUGGGGACUCUGGCGAGACUGCCCAGAUCAACUGGGAGGAAGGUGGGGACGACGUCAGGUCAGUAUGGCCCUUAUGCCCAGGGCUGCACACGUACUACAAUGCCCAGUACAGAGGGGGCCGAAGCCGCGAGGCGGAGGAAAUCCUGAAAACUGGGCCCAGUUCGGACUGUAGGCUGCAACCCGCCUACACGAAGCCGGAAUCGCUAGUAAUGGCGCAUCAGCUACGGCGCCGUGAAUACGUUCCCGGGUCUUGUACACACCGCCCGUCACAUCAUGGAAGCCGGUCGCACCCGAAGUAUCUGAAGCCAACCACAAGGAGGCAGGGUCCUAAGGUGAGACUGGUAACUGGGAUG
rnacentral:rRNA from 1 species